rnacentral:rRNA from 1 species
GAAAUCCUACGGGACGCAGCAGUGGGGAAUAUUGGGCAAUGGGCGCAAGCCUGACCCAGCAACGCCGCGUGAAGGAAGAAGGCUUUCGGGUUGUAAACUUCUUUUCUCAGGGACGAAGCAAGUGACGGUACCUGAGGAAUAAGCCACGGCUAACUACGUGCCAGCAGCCGCGGUAAUACGUAGGUGGCAAGCGUUAUCCGGAUUUACUGGGUGUAAAGGGCGUGUAGGCGGGACUGCCAGUCAGAUGU